rnacentral:rRNA from 1 species
CGUCCGAUCACCGAAGUUAAGCUCAGUAGGGCGCGGUUAGUACUUGGAUGGGUGACCGCCUGGGAAUACCGUGUGCUGUAGGCA